rnacentral:ncRNA from 1 species
AUAAAGUUUGAUUCUGGCUUUUAAAUUAGUUUAUUCAUUAAUUUAUAUGGUUUGUAUUAUUUAAUUUUUAUUAUUCCAGUAGUCAGUAUUAAUUUUAUAAAAGUGGUUUUGAGUUAGUAAAUGGAUAUUGUUAAAAUAGAUUAAUAUUUGUGCCAGCAUUCGCGGUUACACAAUUUAUUUGAAUUAAUUAAAUAAUUUUUUAAUUUAAUUUUUAAAUGGGUUAUACAUAUAUUAUUUAGGUGGAAUUUAUGAUUUUAUUAAAAUCUCUUAAUUGUUAUUUUGAGAUCUUUUUAUUAAUGACUAGGAUUAGAUACCCUAUUAUUUUCUUGGUAAAAAUUUUUUAGAAUGGUAAUAGCUACGAUCUUUGANGCUCAAAGAAUUUGGCGGUAAAAUAUCUUUUUAGAGGAAUCUGUAUAUUAAUUGAUAUUCCACAAUAGUAAGCAACCUUAUAUGUUAUUUGUAUAUCGCUAUAUUAUGGAGUAUUAUUAGAGCAUUUUAUUCUCUUUAACUAAUUUGGAAUUAUGUUAGGUCAAGGUGCAGUUUUUAUAACGGUUUAUAUGGAUUACUUUUGUUAUAAGUUUUAGGAUUUUAAUUUUNUAUUAGUUUAUUUAAAUAAGGAUUUAAUAGUAAGUUGAGUUAAUUAACUUUUCUGAAUAUUUGCUAUGUUUUAUGUACAUAUCGCCCGUCACUCCUAAUUAACUUAGGAUAAGUCGUAACAAAGUAACUUCACCGGAAGGUGAAGUUAGAAUGAAAUA